GACGAACGCUGGCGGCGUGCUUAACACAUGCAAGUCGAACGGAAAGGCCCUGCUUUUGGGGGUUGCUCGAGUGGCGAACGGGUGAGUAACACGUGAGUAACCUCCCCUUGACUUUGGGAUAACUUCAGGAAACUGGGGCUAAUACCGGAUAGAAGCUCCUGCUCCAUGGGGGGGGUUGGAAAGUUUCGGCGGUUGGGGAUGGACUCGCGGCUUAUCAGCUUGUUGGUGGGGUAGUGGCUUACCAAGGCUUUGACGGGUAGCCGGCCUGAGAGGGUGACCGGCCACAUUGGGACUGAGAUACGGCCCAGACUCCUACGGGAGGCAGCAGUGGGGAAUAUUGCACAAUGGGCGGAAGCCUGAUGCAGCAACGCCGCGUGCGGGAUGACGGCCUUCGGGUUGUAAACCGCUUUCGCCUGUGACGAAGCGUGAGUGACGGUAAUGGGUAAAGAAGCACCGGCUAACUACGUG
rnacentral:rRNA from 1 species